CAGCAGCCACGGGAAUACGUAGGUGGCAAGCGUUGUCCGGAUUUAUUGGGCGUAAAGCGAGCGCAGGCGGUCAAUUAAGUCUGAUGUGAAAGCCCCCGGCUCAACCGGGGAGGGUCAUUGGAAACUGGUUGACUUGAGUGCAGAAGAGGAGAGUGGAAUUCCAUGUGUAGCGGUGAAAUGCGUAGAUAUAUGGAGGAACACCAGUGGCGAAGGCGACUCUCUGGUCUGUAACCGACGCUGAGGCUCGAAAGCGUGGGUAGCAAACAGGAUUAGAGACCCGCGUAGUCCCUGUCUCUUAUAA
rnacentral:rRNA from 1 species